rnacentral:rRNA from 1 species
GAUGAACGCUGGCGGCGUGCUUAACACAUGCAAGUCGAACGGAGUUUAUACGGAAGGAGUCUUCGGGCAACGGAAGUAUAAACUUAGUGGCGGACGGGUGAGUAACGCGUGGGUAACCUGCCUUAUACAAGGGGAUAACAGAGGGAAACUUCUGCUAAUACCGUAUAAAAAUAUUUCACGCAUGUGAGAUAUUUGAAAGAUUUAUCAGUAUGAGAUGGACCCGCGUCUGAUUAGGUAGUUGGUGAGGUAGAGGCUCACCAAGCCGACGAUCGGUAGCCGAUCUGAGAGGAUGACCGGCCACAUUGGGACUGAGACACGGCCCAAACUCCUACGGGAGGCAGCAGUGGGGAAUAUUGGACAAUGGGGGCAACCCUGAUCCAGCGACGCCGCGUGAGUGAAGAAGUAUUUCGGUAUGUAAAGCUCUAUCGAUAACGGAAGAAGAUGACAAGCCGUUAAGGAAGAAGCCCCGGCUAACUACGUGCCAGCCGCCGCGGUAAUAC